rnacentral:rRNA from 1 species
AGCAGCCGCGGUAAUUCCAGCUCCAAUAGCGUAUAUUAAAGUUGCUGCAGUUAAAAAGCUCGUAGUUGAAUUUCGGGAUCAAUAUGUUGGUCGUGCCUUGGUACGUACUAGCUUAUUGAUUUCUCCCUUCUGAUGAACCAUGAUGUCAUUAAUUUGGUGUCAUGGGGAAUUAGGACUGUUACUUUGAAAAAAUUGAGUGUUUAAAGCAGGCUCACGCUUGAAUACAUUAGCAUGGAAUAAUGAAAUAGGACAUUUGAUUCUAUUUUGUGGUUCUAGGAUCGAUGUAAUGAUUAAUAGGGAUAGUUGGAGGCAUUAGUAUUCAAUUGCAGAGGUGAAAUUCUU